rnacentral:rRNA from 1 species
GAUGAACGCUGGCGGCGUGCUUAACACAUGCAAGUCGAACGAAGCACUUUAUUUGAUUUCCUUCGGGACUGAUUAUUUUGUGACUGAGUGGCGGACGGGUGAGUAACGCGGGGGUAACCUGCCUUGUACAGGGGGAUAACAGUUGGAAACGGCUGCUAAUACCGCAUAAGCGCCCGGCAUCGCAUGAUGCAGUGUGAAAAACUCCGGUGGUAUAAGAUGGACCCGCGUGGGAUUAGCCAGUGGGUGAGGUAACGGCCCACCAAGGCGACGAUCCAUAGCCGACCUGAGAGGGUGACCCGCCACAUUGGGACUGAGACACGGCCCAAACUCCUACGGGAGGCAGCAGUGGGGAAUAUUGCACAAUGGGCGAAAGCCUGAUGCAGCGACGCCGCGUGAGCGAAGAAGUAUUUCGGUAUGUAAAGCUCUAUCAGCAGGGAAGAUAAUGACGGUACCUGACUAAGAAGCACCGGCUAAAUACGUG